rnacentral:rRNA from 1 species
GACGAACGCUGGCGGCGUGCUUAACACAUGCAAGUCGAACGGAAAGGCCGUGCUUGUGUGGGGUGCUCGAGGGGCGAACGGGGGAGUAACACGUGAGUAACCGGCCCUUGACUUUGGGAUAACUUCAGGAAACUGGGGCUAAUACCGGAUAGGAGCUGCUGUUGCAGGGUGGGGGUUGGAAAGUUUCGGCGGGUGGGGCUGGACGCGCGGCUGAUGAGCUUGUUGGUUGGGGAGGGGCUUACCAAGGCUUUGACGGGUAGCCGGCCGGGGAGGGUGACCGGCGACCUUGGGACUGCGAUACGGCCCAGACUCCUACGGGAGGCAGCAGUCGGGAAUAUUGCCCAAUGGGAGGACGCCUGAUGCGGCAGCGCCGCGUGCGGGAUGCCGGCCUUCGGGUUGUAAACCGCUUCCGCCUGUGACGACGCGUGAGUGACGGUACUGGGUAAAGAAGCACCGGCUAACUACGUG